UUAAAGUUGAUUUUAUUUUACAAAUAGUGGUGUAAUAUUUGUACUCUACAUGUGACAUUGUAGAUACAGAUACUCAUCCAAAUAUAUGUAUUUUUUACAUUCGUGAAACUAGUAUUAAGACGCACAAUACAUACUGAACAGUAUUCUACAGAACUACAGACUGUUCCAGCCUUUCUUUUUUAUACUCUCGCAACAAAAUUGCUAGAGAGUAUUAUAGUUUUGUUCACAUAACGGAUUGCACUAUGAAGGGGCAUAUUUGGAUGUAAUUUUUUUGGGGAGGUGGGCGUGGCCCCGCCCCCAAAUAGGUUUUUUGUACAUAUCUCGGAAACCAAUAGAGCUGUAUAAACCAAACCUUUUGCAGUCGUUUUUUUAGCCACUUCUUAAUACAGUCCCAAAAUGAAAGAAAUCUGAUAAUAACCACGCCCACCUCCCAUACAAAGGUUAGGUUGAAAAUUACGAAAAGUGGGUUAACUCAGUAACGAAAAACGUCAGAAACACUAAAUUUCACAUAAGAAAUGGCAGAUGGAAGCUGCACUCAGAUUUUUUUACAAAAUGGAAAAUGGGCGUGGCGUCGCCCACUUAUGGGUCAAAAACCAUAUCUCAGGAACUACUCGACCGAUUUCAAUGAAACUUGGUUUGUAAUAGUUUCCUUACAUCCCAAUGAUAUGUUGUGAAAACAGGCGAAAUCGGUUCACAACCACGCCUACUUUCUAUAUACCAGAACUUUGAAGACGAUCUGAAUCGUUUACUUUACAAUAUAUAAAGUAAGCACUAGUUAAAAUAUCGGUGCUGAAAUUUGCACAAAUACUAUGUUUAUAGUGUGGCAGCCCCAUUCUAAAAAUCGCCGAAAUCGGACCAUAGGUUUUUAAGGCCCCAUAUAUCGAACACGAGGACCUCGGUGCUUCUAACCUCAUAUUAUGGUUUCCAACUUUCAAUGGACUUUAUACAAUAUAUAUGAAGAAUAUGUGGGUCAAAUUGCGAGAGUAUAAAAUGUUCGGUUACACCCGAACUUAGCCCUUCCUUACUUGUUUCUUUUAAAAAUACUCCCAUUAAUUCCUAAAUAAUAUUUUAAGUGUUCAAUUUUUUGUCCACUUUCAUUUUUAUUAAAAUUGCUCCUUACUAAGAUUCUUAUUCGGCAAAGUACUUUUUUACACUAAAGGCUUAGGUCUGCUAGGUCUUAACACACAUUUCAUUAAUGACGUCAUUAUGAUUUUUACGGUCUCUUAUUUAAAUAUGGAAUUGAUACCAGUUUCAACUAACCUCAAAAAAAUCGUGAAAUUAUCUGCUCAUCGAAGUAAUCUCUCAAUAAAUCCAUUGAUUGAUGCGAUGUGAGGAAAGUGGCAUCGUCUUCUUGAAACCAAAUGCUGCCGAGAUUACGAGCUUCAAUUUCAGGCAUUAAAUAUUCGGUUAUCAUGGCGCGAUAACGGUCGCCAUUGACGGUCACGUUCUCACAGGCAUCAUUUCCUCUUCAUCCCAAAGUCCUUAAGGGGUUAUAUACAGUUAGACGGCCGAAAAAAAGUGAAUUUUCCAGAAUUUUUUCUGAGAAAACUUUUUAAUUUAUUGAUCCAAAAAUUUAUACACAUAUUAUGGUAUCUUUUAACUGUAUUUUAAGACUUAGUUUUAGUAAAAAUAUUUAUUUGAAAAAGAGCUACAGCUGAUCUCCAGGAGCUCCUCUCAAAAAAGACGUUUUGCGGUGACCACUAUAUCU